rnacentral:rRNA from 1 species
GACGAACGCUGGCGGCGUGCCUAAUACAUGCAAGUAGAACGCUGAAGAGAGGAGCUUGCUCUUCUUGGAUGAGUUGCGAACGGGUGAGUAACGCGUAGGUAACCUGCCUUGUAGCGGGGGAUAACUAUUGGAAACGAUAGCUAAUACCGCAUAACAAUGGGUGACACAUGUCAUUUAUUUGAAAGGGGCAACUGCUCCACUACAAGAUGGACCUGCGUUGUAUUAGCUAGUAGGUGAGGUAACGGCUCACCUAGGCGACGAUACAUAGCCGACCUGAGAGGGUGAUCGGCCACACUGGGACUGAGACACGGCCCAGACUCCUACGGGAGGCAGCAGUAGGGAAUCUUCGGCAAUGGGGGCAACCCUGACCGAGCAACGCCGCGUGAGUGAAGAAGGUUUUCGGAUCGUAAAGCUCUGUUGUAAGUCAAGAACGAGUGUGAGAGUGGAAAGUUCACACUGUGACGGUAGCUUACCAGAAAGGGACGGCUAACUACGUGCCAGCAGCCGCGGUAAUACGUAGGUCCCGAGCGUUGUCCGGAUUUAUUGGGCGUAAAGCGAGCGCAGGCGGUUUGAUAAGUCUGAAGUUAAAGGCUGUGGCUCAACCAUAGUUCGCUUUGGAAACUGUCAAACUUGAGUGCAGAAGGGGAGAGUGGAAUUCCAUGUGUAGCGGUGAAAUGCGUAGAUAUAUGGAGGAACACCGGUGGCGAAAGCGGCUCUCUGUGUCUGUAACUGACGCUGAGGCUCGAAAGCGUGGGAAGCGAACAGG